UUUGAUGCCUCAUCUCAUUUCCCAGUUUGUACGUCCGCAAUCUGAGGAGUCAAGGCAACAGGCAUUUCAUUUAAAUGAGACAUCUUUGCCCUGGAGCUGUUGUUUUAAUGUGGCAUCAGUUAAACACAACGCAGCUGCAUCAUCUGUCUAUUGUUUUGCUAUAAUAUACCCCUGUUAUACAUUAUACUAUUUUAAGAUCCCUGUCAGGAGCAGAAAAGUGUUCAUGAUAACUUACAAUACAUACUUACUCAUAAUUCAAUUCACAAUGUGGCAACAUGUAACAAGAACGUACAGAUGAUAUCCUUUCAUUAUUUAGCAAACACUGGCGGUGAAGGAUAAAAGGCACAACAUACAAAAGAGUACUAUACAAACAAAGAGUGACAAGUAUUCUGGUGAGAUGAGCCUAGAGCCAGAAGUAGUGUGCAUGAUAACUGUCUUCCAUUCAGUUAAGUGUUGGGUUGAAUAUGAAAAGGCUGUUGUAGGAGUAUGUUUUGUUCAGCUUAUUAAAACUCAUCUUGGUCAAACACACAUACAGCUCUCAGGCUUUUCUGCCUAUUUCUUGCAUUGUUUUAACUCCUGAUUCCAUUUGAAUAUAAAGAUAACAGCACGAUCUCUAGGUUUAAACUAAUCUACACUGAUUCUUUUUUUUUUUUUUUUUAAAGGCUUUUUGCUGUCUAAAACGGGGAGGAAGUAGCUCAAGGGACAUUCAGAUUUGUUAAUGAAGAGUUAUUGGAGUCUUAAUUCAUUCUGUUUUGUUAAUGAAAUGAGUAAGAAACCACAUUUUCAGAGAUUUGAGAACUGAUAGGACUGAUUAUAGAGUUGAAUCUGUGAAAUCAAAUCUUUCAAUACUCAGCCUUGUUUUAUCAUCCUGUUUAAUAAAGCUUUAAGUCUGUUGUUUUUAGACUUUCAUAGUAAAUGACUCCUUAAGUGUUUCACCUUUUUCUCCUGCUGGUUUUUUUUCUUCUUUGCAUUUAGCCACACUUUAAUCUGUGAUUAAAACUUUCUACUGUGUCUCUCUGCUUCCUGACUGUUCCACCUGCCUGCAGUCUGAUUGCAGCAAUGAGAAUCAGCUGCCGUAAUUGGCUCACACCAGUCGCCUGUUUGCAAUUCCACCUCCCAGCAUAUAAGCCAGCUCUGUCAUUCCCUCCCUGCUCCACCACGGAGUCGCAUAUCCUGCGUCAGCUCAUGACCACCAGAGCUUCUUGGACACGACUCUGCCCUCGUAGCCCUGCCAGUUCCUGUAUGGGUUUCCUACCUACCCCUUCAGCUGAGUUUCUUCCCGUUCCCUUCCUCCCUGACCGUUCCACCUGCCUGCGGUCUGAUUGCAGCAAUGAGAAUCAGCUGCCGUAAUUGGCUCACACCAGUCGCCUGUUUGCAAUUCCACCUCCCAGCAUAUAAGCCAGCUCUGUCAUUCACUCCCUGCUCCACCAUGGACUUGCAUAUCCUGCGUCAGCUCAUGACCACCAGAGCUUCUUGGACACGACUCUGCCCUCGUAGCCCUGCCAGUUCCUGUAUGGGUUUCCUACCUACCCCUUCAGCUGAGUUUCUUCCCGUUCCCUUCCUCCCUGACUGUUCCACCUGCCUGCGGUCUGAUUGCAGCAAUGAGAAUCAGCUGCCGUAAUUGGCUCACACCAGUCGCCUGUUUGCAAUUCCACCUCCCAGCAUAUAAGCCAGCUCUGUCAUUCACUCUCUGCUCCACCAUGGACUUGCAUAUCCUGCAUCAACUCAUGACCACCAGAGCUUCUUGGACACGAUGCUGCCCUUGUACCCCUGCCAGUUCUUGUUUGGGUUUCCUACCUACCCCUUCAGCUGAGUUUCUUCCUGUGACCAUGUGCUACAAAGCAUUACCGGGUAACAAAUACACCUGAUGAAGAUCAGAAAUAUUCAAGCAGAAACCUUCAGCUUCCACGAAGGUGGAAAUCAUUCUGCCAUGAAGACCUAACAACCUUCAAAGACAAUUUGAAAAUGGGAAGAAGUGCUGCGUCACUCUGCGAAGCGCUGCGUCACUCUGCGAAGCGCUGCUCAACUCAACUCAACUCAACUCAACUCAACUCAACUCAACUCAACUCAACUCAACUCAACUCAACUCAACUCAACUCAACUCAACUCAACUCAACUCAACUCAACUCAACUCAACUCAACUCAACUCAACUCAACUCAA